UGCUCUUCUGAUUCUAAAGAG
rnacentral:snRNA from 1 species